rnacentral:lncRNA from 1 species
CUUCCUCUUCGGGCUGCGGGAGUAGACGGCGGCGGAUCAUCGACGACGAUGAUAAAGAAGAAGAAGGAGGAGGAGAUGAGGAUACGAAGAAGAAGAAGAAGGAGGAGGAGGCGGCGGAGGCCGGAGGAGCUCAAAGGCAAGGGUGUUCACGGUGAGAUUGGAGAGGUCGUCGACGGCGGAGGAGAGGCGGGAGGCGGCUAUGGCGACGACGCAACACCGAGCGCAGAAGCAUCGCGCGAUGGCGGAAGAUACGACGGAGAGGAGGCAGUGGAGGUCGGCGUCGGCGGCGCUUCGGCGAGGUCAGGGUAGGGUUCGCUAGCGACGAAGAAGAAGGAAAGGGAAGAAGGAGAGGAAGAGGAAGGGAGAAAAAGAAGAGGGAGAGGAAGAGGAAGAGGGUUCGCCGCUGCAUUCCUCCUCGGUGGCGACGAAGAAGAGGGAAGAGAAAAGGAAGAGGAAAAAGAAGGGGGUAAAAUUGUCAUUUCACUUAUUA